GACCCGUAUGAAUGGCACAACGAGGGCUUUACUGUCUCCUUCUCUUCGUCAAUGAAAUUGAUCUCCCCGUGCAGAAGCGGGGAUAUAGACAUAAGACGAGAAGACCCUAUGGAGCUUUAGACAAAAGGCAGCCUACGUUAAAACCCCUGAAUCACCAGAACUAAGCACAGUAUCCCCUCGCCAACAUGUCUUCGGUUGGGGCGACCGCGGGGGAAGACCAAGCCCCCAUGUGGACUGGAAAAACUUUUUCCACAACCAAGAGUUACAACUCUAAGCAACAGAAUUUCUGACCAAAACGAUCCGGCUACUGCUGAUCAACGGACCAAGUUACCCUAGGGAUAACAGCGCAAUCCCCUUCCAGAGUCCCUAUCGACAAGGGGGUUUACGACCUCGAUGUUGGAUCAGGACAUCCUAAUGGUGCAACCGCUAUUAAGGGUUCGUUUGUUCAACGAUUAAAGUCCUACGUGAUCUGAGUUCA
rnacentral:rRNA from 1 species